UAUAUCUUAAUGCCACUGGUGAUAGACAGUAGUUCCCUUCAGUUCAAAUCCUGUGCCCUUAUUUGCUGCUUGCUGAUGUAAGCAAUAAUAAGUAACCCUCUAACUAAUGGUAUCUACACAUUUAUGUAACUUGUAUUUAAUGAUGGUGUAUCUGGUGACUGUAAAAACAUUAGACAGAUAUAAAAGUAUCUAUAUAUUAUAUAGCAACUGUUAAUUCUGAGGUAUAUAGUCAGUGAAUCAUGUGUUUUGUACUUUUAUUCAUUGUGUAAUUUAGUGGUGGUGAAAGUUCUAUACUCAAUCCUUAAAGAGUGGCAGUAUCCCCUUUUCACGUUAACCAUCUGCAUCAAUUUGUUUGCCUGCUAAACAAAUUUUGUUAGAAUAGGAAAUAGUAAAACAAAUAUAAACAAGAAAGUGUAGUAUUGGUUAGGGAAACAGACUUCGAGUCGCCAGCCGAAGUCAUUACAAACUCCUUGAACAUUCACUGUGAUUUUCUAAGGGAGUCAGUCCCUAAUUUAAAGGUUUCCUUUGAUCACUUCCUAGGUGUGUACUUUUAAGGGAUAUCUGGAGUUAGGCAGCCUUACAGAACCAAACACUGGGGUUAUUAAUUCCACUUAGGUGUACUAAAGAGGAUGGGUAGAAACAUACAUGUAUAUAUCUUUUCUUUACCUAGAAGUGCCAUCCACUGUCCUUGAAUUAAUAUGAUUAAAAUCACUUGCACUUAACUAGAGGCUCCUUGAAAGUAACACCUUUUCCAAGGACAAUGUCAGCCAUGUCAAUGUCAACACUGAGUCUGAUUCUGACCACAUUUAUAGUGGCAUAGUGUCAACACUGCAUUUUCAUGACAACCACACUCCAUUAUUGGAACACUGUGCCAGUAAGAAAUGCAACAUGCGAUGGGCAGGUGAAAAUCAUGCAUAAAGAAGUUCAGUGUUUACAGAUAAAACUGCUGUGGUUCAAGUACUUCUGUCCCCAACAAAGGCUUGCUAUGGCUUUGUGAGAAAAUGAUCUAAAUUAUUUUAAUUUUUAAAUCUCAUUUGUUCACUCAGUGAGCACUCUCACCUAAGCAAGGCCAUAAAAUGGGAUACUAUAGUUUUGUUCACACCUUAAUUUGGGACAAUUUUUCUUUGGAUCAUAAAUUAGGAAACCAUUUUUUUUCAACCUUUGAAAAUCAUGUGAUGUUAGAGGACAAAUACCCACUCU